rnacentral:lncRNA from 1 species
GGCGCUUUCCGCGCACUUCCCCCCACCCCCGGCUUGCGCUCUCCUACCCCCCAUCCUCUCCCCAGAUCCCUCCUCUCGUUCUCCUCCCAUUCUGCUCCUUCCUCCUCCCACAGUAGCUGCUGCUUCCCAGGCGCUCGGAGAUGGGCAGCGAGAGCGCGCGUAGCAGCAGCACCAGCUCCGGGGCCGCCGCCGCUGAUCUUCUCUUCCUUCGGGGCUGGACCGCGCGCCUUCCUCAGCACGCCGCCGCCACGCAGCCCUCGGUCUCCGGGUCAAUGGCGCUAUCCCCCUAGGAUGGGAUUAUGAUGUAAGAGUUCAAGGAUUGGAUAAAAAAUUGGCAUCAUAUAAAAACCAGCCCUCUAUUUCUGCCCACUUAUAAUAAUCCAUGAUAUGUUCUUCAAAUUGUAAGUAAAUAAGUUUAAUGGUGGAGUUUGGGAGGGAAAAUAUGAAAGCAGAUCUU